GGGACAAUGGGAUUGAGCUGGUGCAAGAUAUCCAGCUUGUGCUCUCAGGCCGGGCCAUUUGCUGACCGCUGCUGUGACAUCUGCUGCCAGUUGUGUCUGGAGGGCUGCUGCGGGGCCUGUGCCGAUGACUGCCGCUACACCUUCUGGUUCAUGUGCACAAGGCUGGCUAACUACUGCCUAGCCUUCACCAGCUCAGAGGAGCCUCAGAGAGCCCACCACACAGAAGAUGCUUUUCUGAAUGGGGGACAGGUGGUUUAAAUGGCUGUGGACAUGACGAGCUGAAAGCUUCAGUAUUUCUGGGAACUGUCGGACCAGAUGGAUGAGCACCUCUCACCUCCCUCAGUUGCCACUGGUUGCAACACUGUGUGACCGCAUUGGGUUUAUUUAUGAACAUCUGACAGUGUAUGAAGAUCUAGAAUCUUCUCACAUUACAGAGUUGAAGAGACUCAUGUCUUUUGCAAAUAAAAUACAUGCAGUAAUGUAUCCCUGACAUAUAUUGUACGCUAUACAUUCUGAAGACUCAUUCUGAGAAUGAAUUUUACUUUUGCUUUUUAUAUAAUUCCACCAUCUAGCAUUUGUGAAAUUCCUUUGGAUGACCUACUAAGGAUGAAAGUGUUUACACACUCUGGCAAGAAAAGGAAGUAGUACACAGGCUUCUUUGACAUGCAAGGACCUCAGAAAUGUGCUUGUUUGAAGGGGACGGGCAGGAAAAACCUGAAUGCACACCCACGGGAACGCACCAACCCACAGCCGAGGAUGAAAUUAGACAGGUUUUUUGGUUCUGUUUUGUGAGUGAAAGAGGGCCACUGCCCUGAAGACUGGCUCUGUCAACAGUGAAGACAACACGAAGACAGCUAGAUCUCAAUUCAAGACAUCGAAAAAGGAGUAUAUCUCUUUUUGUGGCUUAUUUGGAGCACAUUUUGAAGGGUGAAAAAGAAGACAGCCCAGAACCGUGUGAGGCCGGAGCUGGGACGCUGGCCAUGGAGGAGGAUUAUAUGAAGCAGGGCUACCCCGAUGUCGUUAGGCAGCAGCACACGAGCAACGUGGCCGCGAGCCAGUCUGCUGAUAAGAAGCGCUCGGAUUCUGGGCCCAACUGCUGCAUGCAGUGCUGCAUGAAGACCAAGAACUGCCUGAUGAGCCCAGAGUGUGGUCGCGCUCUCAACAUCGCCAGCGUAAUCUCCAUGUGUGGCAUGUGCAUCCGCAUGUGGACAUAGAUUUCUGCACACUGAUGAAUCCCCACAGUAUUCUGGCGGCUACCACCCAGAACUUAGAACAAAUGGAGACAUCACGGUUACGGAAUUUUCUUGGCCAGCUCAGUAACACAACCUUAGACUAAGCUCCACCCUGCAUUUAUCAUAACUAGCAGCCUAGUGCAUCCUUUGAGCAAAAAAAAAAACAGGAACACAACCAAAUUUCAGAAAUUUAUCAAAGGAAGCAAAUUAGGGGGCAAAAAAAUGCUAAAUUAACAAAUAAGGGUGGGUGAAUAAGUUAUUAUGUAUAAAAUGUGCAAAAGAUUUGACAUGGAUGGUGCUCCCCUCCUCGUCCCAGCUCAGUUUGCCUCUGGCUGCUCUGCCCAGGCAUGCAUGGCUGUGAGACGUGACUGAGAGCCGGCGGUCGAUCAGUCAGAAAAUCCUAGACCCUGAUUUUAACACUCCACCACUUCACACUAUAACAUAUGGCAUGGGUGCUUUUUGGAACAAAUCUGGGAGGCUUACUUUCCAGCUGCACUGGGGUGCAGAUUAAGGAAUACAUGCUUACAAAUGUAAUCAAUAGCUAAAUUAAUAGAAUGGAAAAGACCGUUUGUACCAGUUCUGCUCUUUUUGUGAAUGUCUUUUAACGGAUGUGUCUCACACACAACACUGGAGGCUCAAUAGCAAGCAUAAUACUGUCUAUGUAUUUAUGUACUUUAUUUUCUGUAUUUUUCAUGUAUUAUUUCUUCAGCAUGCAUCUACAAGUUAUUCAAUAUUAUAUGAGCAUAUGUACACUACGCUAUAUGUCCAGUUGGUUGACCAUUUGCAUAAUUCUGACUUGCCUUCCGUUGCCUACGGUCGUUAUGUCUAACAAGCUCAGGCUAGCAUCCAUGCCGCUUAUACUAGCAGAUUAAAGGUUCAGUGGUAUAAAAAAUCCUUUAUUUAUUCAAAAUAGUCUUUACAGUGUGCUUCAUACAGACCUACAUAUUUGAGAAGAGAUGUGAAAAUAGACCAGUUUAUAUAAGGAUUCUAGAAACCAUGUUUACAUUUAGAAAACCAGGGAAUCCUUUAGCGACUGGAGGUUUAAGUCUCAGAUUUUCAUAUCUAAUAAGGAGGAGAUUAUACCUAAGAAAUUUGCCUCAUCAUUAGCUCCUCCAAUGAUAAAGCCAGUGUUAGCUGGCUUUACACGGUGAAACUUUCAUGCAACUAGUUGCAUGUUGUGAGUUAUCUGCAAAAUAACUUCUGUGCUACGAUAAUUACACAAAGAAAGGAAGAAAUAAAAUUGCACAGAUUUUAUUAUUUUACCAGUGUUACAUAUAAUUUACAUAUGUGUGUGAUUUACAUAUCAUUUACAUAUCAGCAAAUCUUCUGUUUCUGUUUCUUGGCCACCGAUCCAGUGAAAUCAAUGGUUUGAAAGUAUGUAAUUCAACAAGAUCACCGAAUGUGCUUUGGUUGGUGGCUUCAUUAAACUUACACCCGCAACGUUUUUAAGUUUUUUCCUUCUCUUGACAGAGUGAAGUAGGGCCUAUGGAUGAUUAUGAUUGCCUGAGAGGCAUGUCAGUCAUUAUUUUGCAAACAGUCAAUUCCUAGCACUGUUCCAACACCUAGUGUAAAUCCACACCAGAAAGGUAGAGGCUGUUACUGCAGCAAAGGGGGAUAAACUCUCUAUUAAUACCCUUGAUUUCAGAGGCAGCAUUGGAUGAGCAGUUGUCUACAAACUGCUGGACAUAUACUGUAUAUGAUGUUUACAUAAUAAAGAGUUUUGGGUAAUGGUCAAUCCUUAAGGCACCCCCCCUGGAUACUAUAAUAUUCUCAACUGGAAUCUUACCAUGAUAACUUAUGAUCGAGUGUUUAUAUUGUAUAGUCAAUAUUACAUAUAUAUUAAGAAUGCUUAACAUACAGCAUCUUAUGAAAUUGAUAAAACAGCCUCAUUUUACCGUUGGCACGUUUACAUUUACUAGUGAUCAUUAAAGGUAAUCAUUCAAAGUAACCAAUCAUCAUUUCCGUGGGCUAAAUCGUUUCAGCUUCUCUCUAGAUACCAUUCUCAUCAUCUACAUUUUCAGAAUGUUAUUCAUAAGAUUUCUAUUUCUAUGAAAUUACUAAGCGCACUUUUGUUUGCACUUAGGCAGAACCCUUGUUUAUUUGCUGAAUUCAACUUUUUGGGAAAAUAAAUUAUAUAUAAAACGUAGGCUGUGAAAAAUGUA